CGGUAAGGCCCCUUCGGGGGUACACGAGCAGCGAACGGGUGAGUAACGCGUGGGUAAUCUACCUAGAGGUGGGGGAUAGCCUCGGGAAACCGGGGGUAAUACCGCAUGAGUCCUUUCCAACAUAAGUUGGAUUGGGGAAAGGCGGGGAUCUUAGGACCUGUCGCCUCUAGAUGAGCCCGCGUCCGAUUAGCUUGUUGGUGGGGUAAUGGCCUACCAAGGCAUCGAUCGGUAGCCGGCCUGAGAGGGUGAACGGCCACAUUGGGACUGAGACACGGCCCAGACUCCUACGGGAGGCAGCAGUGGGGAAUUUUGGGCAAUGGGGGAAACCCUGACCCAGCGACGCCGCGUGGAGGAUGAAGGCCUUCGGGUUGUAAACUCCUGUCAGGUGGGAAGAAGAGCUUUGUGGCUAAUAUCCACAAGGAAUUGACGGUACCACCAAAGGAAGCCCCGGCUAACUCCGUGCCAGCAGCCGCGGUAAUACGGGGGGGGCAAGCGUUAUUCGGAUUUACUGGGCGUAAAGCGCACGUAGGUGGCGAUGUAAGUCACAGGUGAAAGCCCUCGGCUCAACCGAGGAACUGCCUGCGAAACUGCAUUGCUUGAGUCC
rnacentral:rRNA from 1 species